rnacentral:rRNA from 1 species
UACGAAGGGGGCUAGCGUUGUUCGGAUUUACUGGGCGUAAAGCGCACGUAGGCGGAUCGUUAAGUCGGGGGUGAAAUCCUGGAGCUCAACUCCAGAACUGCCUUCGAUACUGGCGAUCUUGAGUCCGGAAGAGGUGAGUGGAACUCCUAGUGUAGAGGUGGAAUUCGUAGAUAUUAGGAAGAACACCAGUGGCGAAGGCGG